GCUGUGAACUCCCGGGAGCGUAUGGUGAACACACAGCUCCGACCCAGCAGGCUCCCUGUCCAGAGGGCAGUCUCUGCGUGUUGCAAUACUAUUGUUAUCGUGGCAUCUGUAUCAGGAUUGUAUAACCGUCUCCAUUGAUAAAGCAGCCUGGUGUGAGCAGCAACGCAAGUGGCCCUUGGUGUGAUGCAGUUUCUCGAAUAUGUAGUUACAAGCUGACUAAUAAGUCCUCAAAGUUGUACCCAGCUUUGCAGAAAACAGGCCUCCUAUCACUGCAGUGAAAUUUUUUCAGACGAUAUCAAGAACCUCCUGAAAGGAUUACAAGGUCUUUGGUCUGUCUUCUGUGCUGAAUCCUGACCAAGUGCCGUUGCUGCCUGGCAAGAGGGAUAAAGGAAGCUGCUGUGCCUGGCAAGAUCAUGUUUUACAUUGGCAAACUUUUCAGUAUCUCCAGUCAACAACCUGUGAUCUAACGGAUGGAAAGUGCACAGCCAGGCUCAUCACAAAGAAGCACCCCUACUGUGAUACUUAAAAGUGGGAAGUCCUUGAAGAAUGCACUCAGCUGUAGAAUAAGCCAAUACAGCCUCCGGUGGGCUGGCAGAGAUCUCUGUAAAUGGAUUUGCCAGAAAGGAAGAAAGUUAUUCCGUAGCUUGCAACUUACAGAAGAUAUGGAAAACCCUAUAAAUUUUCAAGAUAUGUCUCCAAAGAUGCAAUGGCAGCUGUGUGGACAGAGCAGAGACACACUCUGAACUUCCUGACAUGGAUGAUGAUAGGGCUGUGUUCAAGGCCACACAGGGGUCUCAAGGACUUUGCUGCCUUAGGACUCCAUUAGCCCUCAGCUGGGUUUUUUGCACCUUGGCCACUUUUGUGUUGUCACUGCAAUGUGGUCUGCACCUGUGUUAGCUGGAUGUGCUCCUGUCCCUUGGGCGAGUUACAGCACCUCAGGCCAUCGGAGGUCCCACCUGGAGAUGUGGGCUCUCAGACCAUCAAGACCUUGUUGAAGAAAAUUUCUGCAAUCUUUUUCUCUUCAUAUGUACAUUCUGAGUCAGAUAUGCCUCUCCAGAAACCUUUCCCAAAAGAUCCAUCGGUGAAGAUCCAAUUGCAAAAUCGAAGUCUUAGUCUGCCGAAAUGGUGGUGUUUUUCAACAUAGAAAAUAAGUGCAAAGUGCACGUGCGUUGGCUAGAGCUGACUGAAUGGAUUUCCUCUGGGUGAUGAAGUCUUUUUCCUGUAGACUCACCUUGGUUGCUUCUCUCCAUUAAUGAACCUUUUCCUUUAAGUCAUCUUGGGAAGCAGAAAAAACCUCCUAUAAGAGAUGAGGAUUCACAGUACAUCUAUACAGGCAGGUCUGUAUGCUCUUUGAGAACUCCAUGGGCUGCAUGUUCUUUCCGUUACCCCAUGCACUAUCUUAAGAAACAGUCCUGCUGUCUUCAGGAACAUAGAAAACAAAAUAAAAAAACAUCUUUGCCUCUGGUAUAACGGAGCAUUCCUCGUUGCCCUUUGUCUAAAGAAGCCAAUCCAUGGAAAUUGUUUGGACCCAAUUUUCUGGAGUACCAACUGAAUCUCAGUACACGUCUGUGUAACGCAGUAACUCAUCUGCUGAUGGAGAGCUUCCUUUUUUUUCAGCUUUACAUAUUAUUUUUCUGAAGCAUAUGUUGAAUGGGAUGCUGUGCAGCUGAAAGAUCACACGUCUCAAAUGGCUCACUCGGUGUUCUCAUGCUGAACUGACUGGCUGAGCUGCAGCUGUCUGACAAGGGGAAUGGUCGCUUUUCUCUCAGAACACUGCUCAGCUGAAGCCUUUCAAACUGGAUUGGAUCAAGGGAUAAUUAUUCCUACUACAGUACGUUUUGCUGAAAUCAGGCAUCUGCUGUUGGAUGUAGGACACAUAUUGGCAAACUGGACCUUUGGCUUCCUCCAGGAUGGCUGUUCCUAUAGUUCCACCCAAAAAGACCCUACAAACAAAACACAAACCGUCAUUCAAAAUACUACAUAACAAGAAACAAUUUUGUUAGCAAGAGUCGAUCCU